CCCAGGACCAGCAGCAUCCAGGGACGGCGUCAGCAACCAGGCGGGAGCCUGGGGACAAAUGGAAGUUCAGAGCUAAGCCAUGAGCCAGGAAUCAGCCAGCUCACUAUUGGUCACAACUAACCUGAAGCCAGAAGGCAUAGAGGCCUGUUGAUAAAGUACAUAGAAGCCAAGCUCCUGAGGCAGAGACCAGGAUGGAGAAAGAUGGAGAACACAUCUGGAUGGAAAGGAAAGAUACUGCAGCAAGCAGCAGGAAUGAUCCAGUACAAAGGGGAAACAAUGGAUGAUGCAGGAGAGAGGUGACUUGUUGGAGCAACGCCCUCAACGACAAGAAAGGAUGGGCCCUGGUGCAUAAAGAGAGGCUUGGGUUUAAUUAAAACCUUGGGCACUUCCUCCUUAGGAAGAGAAGGGAUGGUGCUGUGUGUGGGUGCAGAUGCCAGGGGGGUGAGGAGGCGGUGGAUGGUCCCAGAGGCCCUCUUUUGAUUGCUUUGGUUUUCUCAGUGCAGUAGAAAGCAGGGUCAUAUCAGCUGAUAGAAUCUGGGGGAAGCUGGUACUUUGCAGAGAGGAAAAAAUAUCAAGUAGUCAACUAACUUCGUAAUGAUCAAAUAUUUUGCUUGCAUACCUCCUAAAAUAAUUUCGAAAAAUGAUAUCUCCUCAUACAUUUUAAAGUGACAUCUAAAAUUUCUCAUCAUAAAUUUAAAUCCUUGCAAAGGAUAUACAUUCACUUAUGUAACUAGUUGGGAAGAGGAGUUUUGUUAAAG
rnacentral:lncRNA from 1 species